CCUGGGUGUAAACCAUUGUGUGCAGUCAGAGCCCAGGACAGGGAAAAAACCUCUCCAGUGGGCAACCAAUAUGGGAGAACACAGAGGGCCCCGGACCCCGAGCUGGCCUAACAGUAAGUAUGGCUAAGGAAGAAAGCCACAGUUGGUGACCCAUCUUCACCCUCCGGCCCUGGCAUUCUGUUCUUACCUCCAGCACUCGAUUUCCAGGCAGCGAGUCAGUCCAUCAAAUCCCUUCUUCACACACAGGUGUGUAACAGCAGAGCCAACCUGUGUUUCAAGGAGACAAUUUGAAAGAUCGAUGCUAAGAAAAAAAAAAAUUACACUCAUCCUUCUGGAUUUCAUUUUAAUUGUUGGGUGUGCCCUGGGCACCAGAAAUCAUACAGCAGGUCUGGUUUCCUUCCUUGGAUGCAUUUAAAGAGCCCUGGGUUUGCAGUCAGGUCACCCGAGCUCUGGACUCACCAUUAUCACGAACAGCUGCAUCUCUUUGGGGAUAUGGUUGAACAAAUCUGAGUGUCACUUCUUCCCCUGGUUACCUAUGAGUAGGAGUACCUGCCUUAUAGGUUCGAGUGAUUGCUAGACAAAUCUCACAGGUGAAAGCAGUUUGGAAAAUGUAAAGCAUUACACAAUGCAGGACGCUAACCUUUAUAGCAGCGGAAACGAGUGUUACAUCCUGUUGCCCAGCAAGGCCUCGCAGAGUGGGUGCGCGGUCAUUAUUUAUCAGAUAAACGAAUGAAUCCUGAGGAUGAUGGAAGAGCUAGAAACCAAGUCAUCUAGGAAGUAGAGGAGGAGCUGAAAGCAUUCAGGUUUCCAGGCUCCCCGGCACCAUGUGUGUGACAAGGAGCACCAUCGCCACCGCUGUGAUCAUCGGUAUCCAGGUACCGGUUUACUGAGUGCUUGCUUCUCACCAAACACUGCGGGGCACCAAAUGUUCAUCAGGAAACCGAGGCUCGAAGAGGCUAAAUGACUUGCCAGAGGUCAUUGUCCCCAGGUCAUGAGGAGUAAAGGGCAGAGCUGGAUUUUGAAUCAAGGUCUGAUGGAUUAGAGACUCUGUGUGGUCGCCUAGAGAUUAGGAUCACAAGCUGGGGAAACGGACAGGAGCAACUUCAUUGUCGAAUCUGUAGGAGGGGGAUGACAGCGACAACAGAACCGCCUGAUAAGGUACUACUGCAGAGGAGGGACUGUCAAAUCUGAGUACUCGAGGAGUCGGGCCACCUGAGGCAGCACAGGAAAAUACAGGCUGCUCAAUUCAGUUUGAAUUUCGGAUAAACAGCGGA